rnacentral:lncRNA from 1 species
AAAAAAAUUAACAAAAGCAAUUAUUGAGCAUAGUAAUCUGAGUAUAUCCCUUCAAUCUGAAGAUAAAAAAAUUAUAAGCAAAUCUUGGAACUUUACUUAAAAGGUUAGUGUACUUAAAACAUCGAUCAAUAUUAACAUCACCAAUAAUGAGAUAGAACAUCAUAUGCCUCCUGAUGUGAUGCAUUGAGAACAUAGUAACGCAUUGUGAUAUUCUUGGCCCCCCAAAAACAAUUAAAUGGAAUCUAAUAAGGAAAUAUCAGAUAGCCUCAAACUGAUGAAAUUAGUUUUACUUAUUUAUUUUUAGAGAUGAAGUCUUUCUCUGUUUUCAGGCUGGAGUGCCGUGGCACGAUCUCAGCUCACUUCA